rnacentral:rRNA from 1 species
UGCCGACAACGGGUAGCCGGGUUGAGAGACCGACCGGCCAGAUUGGGACUGAGACACGGCCCAGACUCCUACGGGAGGCAGCAGUGGGGAAUCUUGCGCAAUGGGGGGAACCCUGACGCAGCGACGCCGCGUGCGGGACGGAGGCCUUCGGGUCGUAAACCGCUUUCAGCAGGGAAGAGUCAAGACUGUACCUGCAGAAGAAGCCCCGGCUAACUACGUGCCAGCAGCCGCGGUAAUACGUAGGGGGCGAGCGUUAUCCGGAUUCAUUGGGCGUAAAGCGCGCGUAGGCGGCCCGGCAGGCCGGGGGUCGAAGCGGGGGGCUCAACCCCCCGAAGCCCCCGGAACCUCCGCGGCUUGGGUCCGGUAGGGGAGGGUGGAACACCCGGUGUAGCGGUGGAAUGCGCAGAUAUCGGGUGGAACACCGGUGGCGAAGGCGGCCCUCUGGGCCGAGACCGACGCUGAGGCGCGAAAGCUGGGGGAGCGAACAGGAUUAGAUACCCUGGUAGUCCCAGCCGUAAACGAUGGACGCUAGGUGUGGGGGGGACGAUCCCCCCGUGCCCGCAGCCAACGCAUUAAGCGUCCCCGCCUGGGGAGUACGCCCGCAAGGUUAAAACUCAAAAGGAAUUGACGGGGGCCCGCACAAGCAGCGGAGCAUGUGGGCUUAAUUCGAAGCAACGCGAAGAACCUUACCAGGGCUUGACAUUUGGGUGAAGCGGGGGAGACCCCGUGGCCGAGAGGAGCCCAUACAGGUGGUGCAUGGCUGUCGUCAGCUCGUGUCGUGAGAUGUUGGGUUAAGUCCCGCAACGAGCGCAACCCCCGCCGCGUGUUGCCAUCGGGUGAUGCCGGGAACCCACGCGGGACCGCCGCCGUCAAGGCGGAGGAGGGCGGGGACGACGUCAAGUCAUCAUGCCCCUUAUGCCCUGGGCUGCACACGUGCUACAAUGGCCGGUACAGAGGGAUGCCACCCCGCGAGGGGGAGCGGAUCCCGGAAAGCCGGCCCCAGUUCGGAUUGGGGGCUGCAACCCGCCACCAUGAAGUCGGAGUUGCUAGUAAUCGCGGAUCAGCAUGCCGCGGUGAAUGCGUUCCCGGGCCUUGCACACAAAGCCCGUCA